GUGGGGAAUAUUGGGCAAUGGGGGAAACCCUGACCCAGCAACGCCGCGUGAAUGAAGAAGGCCUUCGGGUUGUAAAAUUCUUUGACGAGGGAAGAUAAUGACGGUACCUCGAAAACAAGCUCCGGCUAACUACGUGCCAGCAGCCGCGGUAAUACGUAGGGAGCGAGCGUUAUCCGGAUUUACUGGGUGUAAAGGGCGCGUAGGCGGGUCAGCAAGUCAGUGGUGAAAUAUCGGGGCUCAACCCCGGGGCUGCAAUUGAAACUGUUGUUCUUGAGUGAUGGAGAGGCAGGCGGAAUUCCCGGUGUAGCGGUGGAAUGCGUAGAUAUCGGGAGGAACACCAGUGGCGAAGGCGGCCUGCUGGACAUUAACUGAUGCUGAGGCGCGAAAGCGUGGGGAGCAAACAGGAUUAGAUACCCUUGUAGUCC
rnacentral:rRNA from 1 species